GGGGGUUAUCACAACACUCUAAUGGUCUUUCAUUCUCACUUAGAGAGGAUUGACGCAUGUGGUGAGAGUAGUAGGAGUUCCUAGUGAUAGGUGCUACGUGGAGGCCUAUUUGCGUGGUAACGGACUUACACUUGUGUGUGGUAGGGUGAAACCUGUUGGCAAUGGCUUUGCAAAGCAGUAGAGGCCACCAUAAGUGCACAACCCGCCCCAGAUUGAUAUUCAUUCUAAGUCCGGACGAGUCUAGAGAGUCAUAACAUGAUAAGAUGUUUUACUUUAUUACUUGUAUGGAUAUGGCUUAUAUGUUGUGUUAUAUGAUAACUUGUAUGCUUUUGAAACCUAGCUUACCCUUACUUUUGUGUGUUGUAUGUGUUGUGCCUUUUCUCUUUGCGAUGAUCAUCCACUUGGAUGUGAGCAAAGGGGGAUGAGGUUUCCCUGGAACAAACAUUGGAGGAGACAGAUGCUGCCCCUAGCUCUUAGGACUCUUCUAGUUAUUUUUCUUGAUUUUGAAAGACUGGUUUAUAAAUAAAGUUUAGAUUCUUAAUUAGUAUUUAGACUUAGACUUAUAAGUCUCAUUUUGAGAUAUUCAUUUCUAUAACUAAAAUUUAAAUUCCAUCCAUAUUUUGGAGACAUCUUAAUACUAUCAUUCCCU
rnacentral:lncRNA from 1 species